ensembl:snRNA U6 U6 spliceosomal RNA
GUUCUAAUAAAGAAUCACUUGUGCUAAAAUUGGAACGAUGCAUAGAAGAUUAGCAUGGCCCCUACGCAAGGAUGACACAAAUUCAUGAAGCAUUCCAUAUUAAA